rnacentral:rRNA from 1 species
UACGAAGGGGGCUAGCGUUGCUCGGAAUGACUGGGCGUAAAGGGCGCGUAGGCGGCUUGCAUAGUCAGAUGUGAAAUUCCUGGGCUUAACCUGGGGGCUGCAUUUGAUACGUAUGGACUGGAGUGGGGAAGAGGGUCGUGGAAUUCCCAGUGUAGAGGUGAAAUUCGUAGAUAUUGGGAAGAACACCGGUGGCGAAGGCGGCGACCUGGUCCUUGACUGACGCUGAGGCGCGAAAGCGUGGGGAGCAAACAGG